rnacentral:rRNA from 1 species
CCUACGGGAGGCAGCAGUGAGGAAUAUUGGUCAAUGGGCGCGAGCCUGAACCAGCCAAGUCGCGUGAAGGAUGACUGUCCUACGGGUUGUAAACUUCUUUUAUAAAGGAAUAAAGUGAGGCCCGGGUGCCUUUGUGUAUGUACCUUAUGAAAAAGGAUCGGCUAACUCCGUGCCAGCAGCCGCGGUAAUACGGAGGAUCCGAGCGUUAUCCGGAUUUAUUGGGUUUAAAGGGAGCGUAGAUGGGUUGUUAAGUCAGUUGUGAAAGUUUGCGGCUCAACCGUAGAAUUGCAAUUGAUACUGGCGGUCUUGAGUACAGUUGAGGUAGGCGGAAUUCGUGGUGUAGCGGUGAAAUGCUUAGAUAUCACGAAGAACUCCGAUUGCGAAGGCAGCUUACUAGACUGCCACUGACGUUGAGGCUCGAAAGUGUGGGUAUCGAACAGGAUUAGAUACCCGGGUAGUC